CACAAUUGAAGAAGAAAAUCUCUUCCUUCUCUCUAUCUAUAUUUCUUGUUCAUGUUUUACUAAGUUGCUUAUAUUUCUUAUUCAUGUUUUACUAAAUAGUUUUCAUUUUAUAACAUCAAGAAACUAAUCAUUUUCUAUUUUAAAUAUGGACCGAGGGUUUGAGCAUUACAAAUAACUUCAGAUAAACAAAUAAUUGCUCAUAAGCAAAUAAUUGCAACAAGUAAUACUAGUUAAUCUUUCUCUAUCUUAGAGGUUUUUUGCUUGUAUGCACAUAUAGUUUAUUCUGAAAAUAAGGCAAGCAAACAAGCAAUAUGAUGUGCACAUAGAAUCUUGCCCUUGACUUGGGGAAGAAUCCCUAAUUCACCCCGGAAUAAUUUUCCGGCCAUUCCUUAAUAAUCUUGCGUAGCCAACAUUUUGAGAUCUACAAUUGAAGCAGUUAAAACCGUUAAUCUAAACUAUUCAUUGAACCCAAUUCUUCCAUCAAAGUCUCAUUUAGCCAUUUUUGCGCUUAUGGUUACUUCUACCCUUAAACUCCUUUGAUUGUGCAUUCCAUAGUCAUAAUAUAUUAUAAAUAUAAAGAUUAAUUUAAUAGUAAAAGUAACAUAAAUUACCUUCUCGAAGAAACCAUAGUUCUUUGCUGAUUGAGUUCUUGAAGAUGAUUUAAAGAUUUCAACAUGAAAUCUUGUUAGAAUCUAUUUUGGGAUUAAUAAUCUAACUAUAAUCACGUUAAAGACUCGCCUUGGGCAGUGGGGAAUGAUUUUGGCUUAUCUCCUUGAAAAGAUGAAACUAAGCUCCUUGGGAUGUUAAGAAUAAUAAAAUCAAGGUCCUGGGUAAAUUUGUUGGCCUGGUCCCUCAGGCCUUCCUUGAAAGUCGAAAUCUGAAAAUUUGUCUCGGUUCAACCAUAGUACGGUCGGUCACUGCAGUUUGAAUUCUUUAUCACGGUUGGAUCGGGAUCUACUUACUACUCUAACACCCUUUAGUAAAAAGGUCUAACUUUAUGAAGAAAUAUUUGAACGAUAAAUAUUUUUGAAAACUGCUAUAUAUGGUCAAAAUCGGACUCAUCUAUUGUAUGAUGGAUCAAGACCGAAACGUGAUGAAUUGAAGAUCGGCUCCGAGUUUCAUCAAACUAAAGUACGAAGUCAGAAUAUACGUCUUCAAGAUCUUCGAGUCUAUGACUCCGAAAUCGACCCCUUCUUAGAAUAAGCUCGAGGAAAUAUUAUCGGAUCCAAUAAUGGAAGAACAAAAUAUCUGUAACCAGUCGAAUAUCAAGGCAGGAAUCUCGUCACAUAUCAAUGAGAGAUCGAUUAAUUAGCAAAUCAUGAUAUUUCUUACCUUAUAUAGAAUUGUAUCUAAAGAAGGACCCCCUACUAUAUAAAGGGUAUCUGACUCUCUGUGUACAUUGCAACAUACAUCCCAAAAGCAUUAUAGUAUUAUUUUCUUUCUACAAACUAAUUUUCUUUUAUAUUUUGAAUUAUGUAGAUCAUAUUCAGUUCGAAUAAGAUCUAUUUCUCAAGUCUAUAAUUGUUCACUUCA
rnacentral:lncRNA from 1 species